GCUAACGACAGAAGCAGAUGCAUCUGUGGACAGUUUAAGAAACCACAGUGCUUUGGAGGAAAGGAAGAGAUACUUGAUAAUAAAAGUAGUUUUCUUGGCUUGCACAUCCCAGCCGGGAGAACAAUGAAGACACUUACUGGAUCUUUGUUUCUGUUUUUGUGGCUGCAGCUAGAUUGUAUGAGUAGCGGAGAGGACGUGGAACAGAGUCGUUUCCUGAGUGUCCAAGAGGGAGACAGCGUUGUUAUGAACUGCACUUACACAGACAGUUCCUCCAGCUACUUAUAUUGGUAUAAGCAAGAACCUGGUGCAAGUCUCCAGCUGCUGGCAUAUAUUCUUUCAAAUACGGACAUGAAACAAGACCAAAGACUCACUGUUCAAUUGGAUAAGAAGAAUAAACAUCUCUCUCUGCACGUUGCAGAAGCACAGACUGGGGACUCAGCUAUCUACUUCUGUGCAGAGAGUACACAUUGCUUCUCAGGCACCUGUAUCUUGUACCCAAACCUGUGCCUGGGUCUGAAGCCACACUCUGUUUCCUUUGGUGCUAACCUUUAA